rnacentral:rRNA from 1 species
GCCGGCCGGCCCUCUGGUGGCGGCGGCGCGAGGUGGGGGCAGUGGAGGGGCCUCGCUCGCUGCGGCUAGGGUUCCCCCGUGCCACCCGAGAUGGGCGAUGCCAUAUAGAUAAUACAAGAUGUGGCAAAGUGUUGUAUUCAAUAGAGAUUACAGUGAUAAAUUGGUGAAAUUAGUUUGCUCUCUGAUCUCUGUUAGCUUUAACUCGCUAGGAAGCCAUGUAGUCCUAUUUUUAGUACUCGUACAUUAAAAAGUAAUAUUAAAUCUAUGCCAUCCAGGGAAUUGAUCUCUGUUGUGCUGGGGCAAACUAAACCAGAGCAAGCACUUACUCAAGGCAAGGAGCAGUGCUCGUACUUGCUCGUGGUUGAGGUAGAUUCAGGUUAAAUUUUAUGUGUUGAUUCCCUUCUCUUGCACAUGUCCAGGUCUUUGUACCUGAUCAAGCUGUUCUUUGACAAGUAUUAUCUUUGAGUGAUGCCAUGUUGGUAAUAAAAUACUAUAUAACUCACAUUUCUUAUAUGUUCAUUUUUCAUUUUUGUUCUUUCAUUUGAAAGCUCAUAUGGUCAAUUUUGGAGGCAACUACAUGUAUAUACUGCUGAUGUUACAUGUAAACAAAUUCGAUGCUGUAUGCAUAUGACCGUGCACAUUAUUGAACCCUUUCGAUUCUAUUGCAAGGUCAAAUAGUUUUUCAUGUUCUAACUCUCUGGGAUAGUCUGCAGUUAUUUGGUUCAUCGUCGCGCCUCAAGUUUCCAACAGUGUCGUGGCUGUACACCAUCGACUUCGCCGGAAAUCUGUCUGCAUAUACUCUACUGUCCGCCGAAACUUUGUCUGACCUGAGCUGAUGGGGAUGAGAUGUGACCCCGCUGCUGGGCGUCGCAAAUGCCACUGCUCCAAUGUGUGCCCCAUCUUCGGCGAUUCACGGGCGAGGCAACACGAUUUGGUGCAGUGGCCCUCCUUCCAAGAAAUCAAGUUUUUUGGUUCAGAUUUUAGAGCUCUUGAGUUUCAGCUUAGUUCAAGGAUAGAAAAGCAUAGUCCUUAUGGAUUCAACGAGGAAAACCAUUAGCCGCCACCUUUUCAGAAUUGGAUGGUGUGGUGCACCUUCAUCCUGCUGUCCAAUUUCUUAGCUUAUUUGCUUUAACUGUACUACAGUUAUAUAGCAGGAUAAGGAUCCAAUCUUGUGACGCCUCUCCAUUUGCACCAUCGUCAAAAGUUGCACAUGAGUUGAUUCAGACUUUCAGAAUUCAUAGAACACCUAGAGUUAAUCGGCCUGAAGGUAUAUCAGAUCCUAAGGAAAGGGGACCCGGUUCAGAUUUGUCACUACUAUGUGCUGUUGGAUAGUCAUGAAAUUGAUGGUGACGGCUCAGCGGCGUCGUGGUGAAUGGCGAAGCUUCUAAAAUUGACGGAAGAGAGGUGGUGACACGAGGCUGGGAGACGUACAUAUUUGAGGAAAUACGAUUCAUAAGGUUUCAUAUUAACAAAAUAUGAUGGUCUUCGUAAAGUAAUAUGAACAUUUUGUUGAUUCCGGGACAACUUUAUUCUCCAAUACGAAUCUGUAAGAAAAGAU